CCUACGGGAGGCAGCAGUGGGGGAUAUUGCACAAUGGGGGGAACCCUGAUGCAGCGACGCCGCGUGGGUGAAGGAGUGCUUCGGCAUGUAAAGCCCUAUCGGCAGGGAAGAAGCAAGACGGUACCUGACUAAGAAGCCCCGGCUUACUACGUGCCAGCAGCCGCGGUAAUACGUAGGGGGCGAGCGUUAUCCGGAUUCACUGGGUGGAAAGGGGGCGUAGACGGCCAUGCCAGCCAGGGGUGAAAGCCCGGGGCCCAACCCCGGGACUGCCCUUGGAACUGCAUGGCUGGAGUGCGGGAGGGGCAGGCGGAAUUCCGGGUGUAGCGGUGAAAUGCGUAGAUAUCAGGAGGAACACCGGCGGCGAAGGCGGCCUGCUGGACCGCGACUGACGUUGAGGCUCGAAAGCGUGGGGAGCGAACAGGAUUAGAUACCCGGGUAGUC
rnacentral:rRNA from 1 species